rnacentral:misc_RNA from 1 species
UUAACUAUUAUAUAGUACUCAGACAUCACUAAACAAAAGAGUUGGGUCCUCUGGCAAGCACUAUCAGCCGAAGCCGACGCCCGGAAGCGGCCUGCCAAAGCAACAAAGGUAAGGUAGACACGGGUUAAGAAGGACUCCGCCCGAGGGCGAAGUUUCUUUAAUGAUCCUUCCGCAGGUUCACCUACGGAAA